UGUGGCUUGCUUCUUCUGAACAGAAUGCAGCAGAAGCGAAGCUACGUGACUUUCCAGACUGGGUCAUAAAAGGCAACACAACGCAUCUGGCUCUCUCUCUAUAUCUUGCUGUGCUCUCUCUUGGAAUCCAGCUGCCAUGCCACGAGGAAGGGCAGGUUGCAAGUCAGGAUUUGGCCAACAUGUGUGCUGUGCUGAAGUCCCAGCUGAUUGCCAGCAUCAGAAGCCAGCUAUUGGAAGAAAUGGAUUAGAAAAUUGAAAAAUCUAAAAGACAGAAUCAAGGUGUGUGAAAAACAGGGUGUUCCCCAAAGAAGCCAGUCUUCUGGGGUUCGGCAAGGGAAUGCGGAUUGCCACCAUCAACCACAGAGUGGCCUCUGAGAAUCCUGGGGGAAGAUUGUAAGAAGAGCUCAGAGUCACAGAAGCUGAUAGAGGAUGAUGCAAGUUUGCUGAAUCGCUGCCGUAUAGUCUCAGUUCUCUGAGACGUCGAUUCCUACUGGUGUCUGCUCAACUCCACAGGGAACCACGGAGCUUUCUUAGGCGGUUGGGGACUGUCUCUUUUGUUCAAAAAUGUUCA